AAAGAAAGCGCAAAACCACUAGUAACGUUAGACACAUUGGAAAAUAAAUAUGAGCAACCCAGAAGAAAGAAAAGUACAGUAAAAAGCCGUUGAGACGUACUGGAAGAUUGCGAGAGGCAUAACAAGGAAUUCAAUUGUUACGUUUAUACCCCCAUCUGUGUUCUAAUAAAUUCCAUAUUAUAUGUUGUACAUGAUUUGUCAUCUAAAUUGUUAUCGAUUUAUGUAUUCAUCGGGAAUAUCCCCAUCAUCAGUCUAGACGGGACUCCCAAAACAGAGUCUUUGGCUCCAUCAUGCAUUGCGGUAAAAUGGCAUUUCUAAUGUAAACAACGUAUGAGUUAUGCCCCUUAGUUCUAAAUAAAUCUCUAAAAUUGGCCAAAAAACACGACAAAAAUUAAUUUUAAACUUUCAAAAACAUUUCUGAACUUUUAUUUGUCAUAUUUAUGUCAAAUGUUCAUAACUGUUUACUUGUAUUACGUAAGAUUAAUUUUUAAAAUGAAAAAUUCACCCAUAUCUUCGAUCGCGCAUAACUAUAUCUUUUUAGAAAUAAAUUAAAUGCUUGGAUAUGAUUAUUUAUCAUUGUUUGUUGAAAUAUAGUCUCAUUUACAUCAUUUUCAGGUUAAUUACUUAAUUAACUUGAAUAAUUAUGCAUUUAAUAUGGUUAACUAACAUCGGAAAGGCCGCGAGCAAUUAUAAUUGUUUUGAUGAUAAUUAUCUGUUUAAUUUAAAGAGUUAUUGUAUCUAGAAUGACAAUUUGUUUAAUUUUCUAGGUUUUUAAACUAACAAUUCUAUUUUUCCAAUCCAAAUAAGACGUUUUUAAUCAUCGCCAGAGCAGCCAGUUUUUGUUAGUAGUCGGGGCCCUUUUCGUUUAUGCACUUAUCAAUUUGUGUGUUUGGUGACUUUAAAUUGUAACACAAUACGAAGAAAGUACAAUUUAAUGCAACUUACCUUUAAGUAACGAUAAAAUUCCAUGAAAAACACGAACAUAUCACUUUUUAAGCAUCGUCCAAACGUCCAACUUCGGAGAUAAACAACUUUCUUAAGUGCAAAUAAACACCUAUUUCGUGCAAGUACGAUCGAUAGUAAAUUAUAUCCUGGGUCUUUUAAAACAUGUUAGAAGUCUGCCAACACAUGCAGCACUUUGCAAGAUGAUUUCUCGUGGACCCGAUGUUUUCAUCGAACAAUCGCCAUUUUUUGUAUAAGUGCACAUGCGUAGACUCCCAAAAUGGAGUCCUAAAUACUUGCAGAAAUUCACUUCCGUUGACUCCGUCUAGACUGAUCGUACCAUAAAUCAUUGUUUACGUUGGUAUAUACAAGUGGGGUAACCUGAAUUUCCUCUAAUACGAAAAUAGAUCACCCACACAAGUAUAUGUUUUAGCUUAUAAUCCUUUCCCUUACCUUUACUUACUACGGCAUCAUUAACAAGUCCUUUCCAUGAUUUAUUUCACAUCCGUCAAGUCAUAAUACUCCUUUUACGAUAAUUUCUAUUCCUUGACCGAACGUCUGUAAAUUCAUACCUUUGGGUGACAUAUAAAGACCUGUACUCCUUUAUAUUAUAUAUCCAUGUGCCUCAUAGACCUGUAUACCUUUAUAGAUAUCAGGGUGACCCAUAAUUUAUCAUCUUUAAUUGUUAUUUGUUGUUGCUUUAUAUUGAACUCUUAAUAAAUGUUAUAAAUUUG
rnacentral:sRNA from 1 species